AUUGAACGCUGGCGGCAGGCUUAACACAUGCAAGUCGAACGAUGACUCUCUAGCUCGCUAGAGAUGAUUAGUGGCGGACGGGUGAGUAACAUUUAGGAAUCUGCCUAGUAGUGGGGGAUAGCUCGGGGAGACUCGAAUUAAUACCGCAUACGACCUACGGGUGAAAGGGGGCGCAAGCUCUUGCUAUUAGAUGAGCCUAAAUCAGAUUAGCUAGUUGGUGGGGUAAAGGCCUACCAAGGCGACGAUCUGUAACUGGUCUGAGAGGAUGAUCAGUCACACCGGAACUGAGACACGGGCCGGACUCCUACGGGAGGCAGCAGUGGGGAAUAUUGGACAAUGGGGGCAACCCUGAUCCAGCCAUGCCGCGUGUGUGAAGAAGGCCUUUUGGUUGUAAAGCACUUUAAGCAGGGAGGAGAGGCUAAUGGUUAAUACCCAUUAGAUUAGACGUUACCUGCAGAAUAAGCACCGGCUAACUCUGUGCCAGCCGCCGCCGUAAUAC
rnacentral:rRNA from 1 species